CCUACGGGAGGCUGCAGUGAGGAAUAUUGGUCAAUGGACGAGAGUCUGAACCAGCCAAGCAGCGUGAAGGAUGACUGCCUUCUGGGUUGUAAACUUCUUUUAUAUGGGAAUAAAAUGUUCCACGUGUGGGAUUUUGUAUGUACCAUAUGAAUAAGGAUCGGCUAACUCCGUGCCAGCAGCCGCGGUAAUACGGAGGAUCCGAGCGUUAUCCGGAUUUAUUGGGUUUAAAGGGAGCGUAGGUGGAUUGUUAAGUCAGUUGUGAAAGUUUGCGGCUCAACGGUAAAAUUGCAGUUGAAACUGGCAGUCUUGAGUACAGUAGAGGUGAGCGGAAUUCGUGGUGUAGCGGUGAAAUGCUUAGAUAUCACGAAGAACUCCGAUUGCGAAGGCAGUUCACUGGACUGCAACUGACACUGAGGAUCGAAAGUGUGGGUAUCAAACAGGAUUAGAUACCCGAGUAGUC
rnacentral:rRNA from 1 species